GCUUGGAGCCGUGAACCUUCCUCUCUCGCAGUUAUUAUUGUUUUGGUCGGACGACGCAUGCGCACCGGCGACGCGCUCGCCUUUCCCCUCUCGCGCUCGCGCUCCCGGGCGUUUGAAUGGCACCAGCUUGGCUGCUCGUAUACUCUCCUCUCUCUCGCGCUCUUCCUCGUCGUGUAAACAAACCGUUAACUCGAGGCCCUGGCGAAUCGAUAACGUCCGAGCUCUCACUACUUCCCCGCUGCGGUACUCCGAUUUCACUUGACAAAAGACCUGUAUACUCCAAAGUAGGCGUGAUGCACUUACCAAGCUGUUGCUUUCCAUCACGCCGAGGAGAGAAAAGGGGACUCGAGCAUUUUCCAGGAACGUCGCUGGGUUUUUGGAACGAGUUAGACAUCCGCUAUGUCCGUGUGUGCGAAGGUGGGGUGGGGAGCUCUGGGAUGCUCGUACGAUGGAUCAAGACUGGUCUUUCUCUCUCGCUCGCGGAUGCGCUCAUACCUACACUGGGAAAUCAUUCGCUAGAGCGUGAACAACUCUCCGUAUUAUAGCUGAUGUCUUGCCAGUAACUGAGCUGUUCCGUUGAUGCUCAGUACAGGGUGAACUAAUUUGUCACGGAGUUGCGUAACAGUUGUCGCAUUAUCUGACGCACCGAGAUAUAAGUACCUACAGCGAGACAGUAGAGCAUACGAGCACUUUCGGAGCUAAGAUAGUUUUGUUUUUCAGAUAAGGCUGAGGCCACGGGAUGUGGAUUACGUGCCGUUGGCAGGGAUAUGGAUCGAUCUAAGUGUAUAUAGCUUGUUAGGGAACAAUCACGACCAGCUGUGAAUAUUUCAAACCGGGGAACGCUUCUCUGCAAUUUUCUAAACUAGGUUUACGACAGGAUGUUUCCGUCGUUCGCAAUAACUGAGCUUUGUUUACAAAUAUGUUAACGAGGACAUGUCGAAAGUAAUAAUACUAUAAGCAUCAAACAUAUUUGUAAUUUCUCGUAUAAUUUUAUCUUAAUCAAAUAUAUGAAGUAUGCAUGAUGAAA
rnacentral:lncRNA from 1 species